rnacentral:rRNA from 1 species
GACGAACGCUGGCGGCGUGCUUAACACAUGCAAGUCGAACGGAAAGGCCCCUUUGGGGGUCCUCGAGUGGCGAACGGGUGAGUAACACGUGAGUAACCUGCCCUUGACUUCGGGAUAACUUCAGGAAACUGGGGCUAAUACCGGAUAGGAAUCCUUGCUGCAUGGUGGGGGUUGGAAAGCUUCGGCGGUUUUGGAUGGACUCGCGGCUUAUCAGCUUGUUGGUGGGGUAGUGGCUUACCAAGGCUUUGACGGGUAGCCGGCCUGAGAGGGCGACCGGCCACAUUGGGACUGAGAUACGGCCCAGACUCCUACGGGAGGCAGCAGUGGGGAAUAUUGCACAAUGGGCGGAAGCCUAAUGCAGCAACGCCGCGGGCGGGAUGACGGCCUUCGGGUUGUAAACCGCUUUCAGCAGGGGCGAAGCUUGUGGUGACGGUACCUGCAGAAGAAGCACCGGCUAACUACGUG